UAAGGGGUCUCCAUCUUUGGUGUCAUCCCUCCUCGGGGGCCGGUGGCCCUCCGGGCAGAGGAGGAGGGGGCUAUUAAUUAAAGGCAGUGAGCGAUGCACCGACACAGCAGGACCCAACCACAAUGCUCUGAUUAACAAAACCCCAGAACACUUCUGCAAACUUCGCUUUGAUUUCACUUGGCUGGGAGUUGGAAUGGGGAACGAUGCAGUUGAAAGAAAGGGAGCCAGCGAGCGAGAGAAAGAGAGAGAUGUUUAUGCAGUAAAAAAGAUGCAGCAGGAGGCUGGAUUCCAUAUGCCAGGCCUACGCCUCUAUAUUACAGGAUAAAGCAGCAGAAGAAUGGAGGACAGCUUCUGCUCAUAACGAGGUGGAUCAGAUACAGAAGGCUGGAUGACUGACAGGCUUGUAAUGUUAAAGACCGCAUUGUGUGGGAUCGUUUUAUUUCUUUGUAGAUUGUGUUAUGUGCUUUUAUAUACAGUAUAGCUAUAAAAUACAACAUUUUUCUUUCUAUCUAGUCACUAUUUUAGAUGGUUGGUGUAGUGCAGUGGAUAACACCACCGCCUGUCCGUGAGAAUUGAAUGACUGAAAUAAAUAAACAUGUUAAUGAUAUAA